UACGUAGGGGGCAAGCGUUGUCCGGAUUUAUUGGGCGUAAAGAGCGUGUAGGCGGCCAGACAGGUCCGUUGUGAAAACUCGAGGCUCAACCUCGAGAUGUCGAUGGAAACCGUCUGGCUAGAGUCCGGAAGAGGAGUGUGGAAUUCCUGGUGUAGCGGUGAAAUGCGCAGAUAUCAGGAGGAACACCGAUGGCGAAGGCAGCUCGCUGGGACGUGACUGACGCUGAGACGCGAAAGCGUGGGGAGCAAACAGG
rnacentral:rRNA from 1 species